GAUGAACGCUGGCGGCGUGCCUAAUACAUGCAAGUCGAGCGAACAGACGAGGAGCUUGCUCCUCUGACGUUAGCGGCGGACGGGUGAGUAACACGUGGAUAACCUACCUAUAAGACUGGGAUAACUUCGGGAAGCCGGAGCUAAUACCGGAUAAUAUAUUGAACCGCAUGGUUCAAUAGUGAAAGACGGUUUUGCUGUCACUUAUAGAUGGAUCCGCGCCGCAUUAGCUAGUUGGUAAGGUAACGGCUUACCAAGGCAACGAUGCGUAGCCGACCUGAGAGGGUGAUCGGCCACACUGGAACUGAGACACGGUCCAGACUCCUACGGGAGGCAGCAGUAGGGAAUCUUCCGCAAUGGGCGAAAGCCUGACGGAGCAACGCCGCGUAAGUGAUGAAGGUCUUCGGAUCGUAAAACUCUGUUAUUAGGGAAGAACAAAUGUGUAAGUAACUAUGCACGUCUUGACGGUACCUAAUCAGAAAGCCACGGCUAACUACGUG
rnacentral:rRNA from 1 species